rnacentral:rRNA from 1 species
AUUGAACGCUGGCGGCAGGCCUAACACAUGCAAGUCGAACGAGUGGCGGACGGGUGAGUAAUGUCUGGGAAACUGCCUGAUGGAGGGGGAUAACUACUGGAAACGGUAGCUAAUACCGCAUACCAUAAGAUGUGCCCAGAUGGGAUUAGCUUGUUGGUGGGGUAACGGCUCACCAAGGCGACGAUGCCUAGCUGGACUGAGAGGAUGACCAGCCACACUGGAACUGAGACACGGCCCAGACUCCUACGGGAGGCAGCAGUAGGGAAUCUUCCACAAUGGGCGAAAGCCUGAUCGAGCCAUGCCGCGUGUAUGAAGAAGGCGUUCGGGUUGUAAAGUACUUUCAGCAGAGAGGCGUUACCUGCACAGGAAGCACCGGCUAACUCCGUGCCAGCCGCCGAGGUAAUAC